rnacentral:rRNA from 1 species
ACGGAAGGCAGCAGUCGGGAAUAUUGCACAAUGGGGGGAACCCUGAUGCAGCGAUGCCGCGUAAAGGAAGAAGGUCUUCGGAUUGUAAACUUUUGUCGACAGGGAAGAAACAAAUGACAGUACCUGUGGAGGAAGCCCCGGCUAACUACGUGCCAGCAGCCGCGGUAAUACGUAGGGGGCGAGCGUUAUCCGGAAUUACUGGGUGUAAAGGGUGCGUAGACGGGACACUAAGUCUGAUGUGAAAUACCAAGGCUCAACUUUGGAACUGCAUCGGAAACUGGCGACCUAGAGUGCGGGAGAGGAAAGCGGAAUUCUCAGUGUAGCGGUGAAAUGCGUAGAUAUUGAGAGGAACACCGGUGGCGAAGGCGGCUUACUGGACUGUAACUGACGUUGAGGCUCAAAAGCGUGGGGAGCAAACAGGAUUAGAUACCCUGGUA